rnacentral:piRNA from 1 species
CAGGAAAGCAGAACAUACUGGUUCCC